GUGAACUUGCAGCCACAGGAGGAAACAGGGCAUAGCUGUGACGUUUUCCAUGUUCAAUGUGAACUCCAUACUGUGGCUGGUUUCAUCCCUGCCGCUACAUGUACAAAUAUGGAAGCUCGUGAAUUGGAAAAUCCCCCGUUUUCGGCAAACGACGCUACGAUACCGAACACCGAGUCUUCCAACAUAUCAGAUAUUUAUGGUGGUGAAAGCGGCACCGUCCCCACAGCAACAAGCAAGAAUGAGGACAAGGUCCGUAUGCAUGCAUGCCGCCCCUGCAAUUUUACAACACAAUAUUUCACGCGAUUCUGUGAACACAUCAAACCCCCUUUGGAGCUGUGUUCAUUCUACAUAG